rnacentral:rRNA from 1 species
CCUACGGGGAGCAGCAGUGAGGAAUAUUGGUCAAUGGACGCAAGCCUGAACCAGCCAAGUCGCGUGCAGGAAGACGGCCCUACGAGUUGUAAACUUCUUUUGUAAGAGGGUAAACGGAGAUACGUGUGCCUGUUUGUAUGUAUUUUAUGAAUAAGGAUCGGCUAACUCCGUGCCAGCAGCCGCGGUAAUACGGAGGAUCCAAGCGUUAUCCGGAUUUAUUGGGUUUAAAGGGAGCGUAGACGGUUGGUUAAGUUAGUGGUGAAAGCCCGCGGCUCAACUUCGAAAUUGCAUUUGAUACUGGUAGGCUAGAGAAUAGUUGCGGUAGGCGGAAUGUAUGGUGUAGCGGUGAAAUGCUUAGAGAUCACGCAGAACACCGAUUGCGAAGGCAGCUUACCAAGCUGCUACUGACAUUGAGGCACGAAAGCGUGGGGAGCAAACAGGAUUAGAUACCCGAGUAGUC